GACCAGACUCCUACGGGAGGCAGCAGUGGGGAAUAUUGCACAAUGGGGGAAACCCUGAUGCAGCGACGCCGCGUGAGUGAUGAAGUAUUUCGGUAUGUAAAGCUCUAUCAGCAGGGAAGAUAAUGACGGUACCUGACUAAGAAGCCCCGGCUAACUACGUGCCAGCAGCCGCGGUAAUACGUAGGGGGCAAGCGUUAUCCGGAUUUACUGGGUGUAAAGGGAGCGUAGGUGGCAGGGCAAGUCAGAUGUGAAAACCCGGGGCUCAACCCCGGGAGUGCAUUUGAAACUGUGCGGCUAGAGUACUGGAGGGGCAGGCGGAAUUCCUAGUGUAGCGGUGAAAUGCGUAGAUAUUAGGAGGAACACCAGUGGCGAAGGCGGCCUGCUGGACAGUAACUGACGUUGAGGCUCGAAAGCGUGGGGAGCAAACAGGAUUAGAUACCCGAGUAGUC
rnacentral:rRNA from 1 species